CCGAAAGAAAGAGGUUUCAUUGGACUUACAGCUCUACAUGGUUGGGGAAGCCUCACAAUCGUGGUGGAAGGCAAGAAGGAGCAAGUUCUGUCUUACAUAGAUGGCAGCAGGCAAACAGAGAAUUAGGAAGACACAAAAGCAGAACGUCAGAUCUUGUGAGACUUAUUCACCACCACCAGAACAGUAUGGGGGGAACUGCCCCCAUGAUUCAAUUAUCUCCCACUGGGUCCCUCCAACAGCACAUGGGAAUUAUUGGAGUACAAUUCGAGAUGAGAUUUGGAUGGGGACACAGAGCCAAACCAUAUCAGUUAUUAUGUUAGUUAUUGUAGAUCACAGAAAUAACCAAAUUUCCUUGUCAGUUGUAUAUGAUUGUUCAAAGUCAUUUCCUCAGUUAAUUGCCUAAUUCCAAUGCAGUUUCUGAAAACUUCACAAGCACUUGACACUCUAGAAUAUGAUAUCUUUUAGAAGGUUUAUGAAAGGAUGGAAAGGAUCUUGAAAAGCACUCUUGAAUACAGGUAAGAAUUCCUGGAACUUUAAUGAAAAGACUGACUGGUUUAUAAAACUACUAACCCAAGUAGAAUAAAAAUUAAUUGACUACCAAGAAAAUACUUUGCCAGAUUUUCAUGCUAAAUCAACCAAUACUGAAAUUGUUUAGGUACACAAUUUGAGUGAACUCCAUAGUGUAAGUCAAAUUACCUAUGAUAACCCAUUAGUUAUCAGUGCUAUGCACCUAAAUUUAAACAACUGAUAUUCAACAGAACUUAAGUCCAACAUGAAGCAUGGACUCCCAGAGAACCAGGAUGGCUGCCUUGUCCUUUCUCAGUCCUUAAAACUUUUGUUAUUAAAAGUUCUGCAUUCUAUGACUCAUUAUGGAAAAGAUAAAAUCCAAAUUAAAUAUACAUUGGCGUAGUGACUUCUAAAUUGCUAAAAUAGUUUAUGACCAUAUUCCAUGGAAGACAAAGCCUUAAGUACAUUUGACCACCUGAUGGGCCUUUCGGACACUUACGGAGGGAUUUCUUUCUAUUGUCAUUUUCAGUGCAUGUUUUCUGGUUGUAUAAAAGCUUUCCCAUGCAAGAGGGCUGAUACUAGGCCAGUAACUAAA